UCUCCGUUGGUGAACCAGCGGAGGGAUCAUUACAGAGUUUUCACAACUCCCAACCCUUGCGAACCGUACCCAUUCUGUUCUCGUUGCUUCCGGCGGGGGGGACGGGGGGGCCCGAAACGGCCUCCCCGCCCCGCCCGCCGGGGGCGGCGGGCCCUACGAACCUUUAUAUCUCAACCACAGAAACCGUCUGAGAAAACAAACAAAAUAAUCAAAACUUUCAACAACGGAUCUCUUGGCUCUG
rnacentral:misc_RNA from 1 species